rnacentral:rRNA from 1 species
CUACGGGUCGCUGCAGUGAGGAAUAUUGGUCAAUGGACGCAAGUCUGAACCAGCCAUGCCGCGUGAAGGAUGAAGGCCUUAUGGGUUGUAAACUUCUUUUAUACGGGAAUAAACUUAGCUAUGUAUAGCUAACUGCAGGUACCGUAAGAAUAAGCACCGGCUAACUCCGUGCCAGCAGCCGCGGUAAUACGGAGGGUGCAAGCGUUAUCCGGAUUUAUUGGGUUUAAAGGGUCCGCAGGCGGACUAAUAAGUCAGUGGUGAAAUCUCUCGGCUCAACCGAGAAACUGCCAUUGAUACUGUUAGUCUAGAGUGUAGCUGGCGUAGGCGGAAUGUAUCAUGUAGCGGUGAAAUGCUUAGAUAUGAUACAGAACACCGAUCGCGAAGGCAGCUUACGAAACUACAACUGACGCUCAGGGACGAAAGCGUGGGGAGCGAACAGGAUUCGAUACCCGAGUAGUC